rnacentral:rRNA from 1 species
GAUGAACGCUGGCGGCGUGCUUAACACAUGCAAGUCGAGCGAGAAAAGUUCUUCGGAGAUUUUCUAGCGGCGGACGGGUGAGUAACACGUGGGCAACCUGCCUCAUAGAGGGGAAUAGCCAUUCGAAAGGACGGUUAAUACCGCAAAACAUUGUUGAACGGCAUCUUUUAACAAUCUAUGGAGCAAUCCUCUAUGAGAUGGGCACGCGGCGCAUUAGUUAGUUGGUGAGGUAACGGCUAACAAAGGCGACGAUGCGUAGCCGACCUGAGAGGGUGAUCGGCCACAAUGGAACUUAGACACGGUCCAGACUCCGACGGGAGGCAGCAGUGGGGAAUAUUGCACAAUGGGGGAAACCCUGAUGCAGCAACGCCGCGUGAGUGAUGAAGGUCUUCGGAUUGUAAAACUCUGUCUUUAGGGACGAUAAUGACGGUACCUAAGGAGGAAGCCACGGCUAACUACGUGCCAGCCGCCGCGGUAA